GACAGAGGAUGCAAGCGUUGUUCGGAAUUACUGGGCGUAAAGGGCGCGUAGGCGGCCUGCUAAGUCGAACGUGAAAUCCCUGGGCUCAACCCAGGAACUGCGUCCGAUACUGGUUGGCUUGAAUCCGGGAGAGGGAUGUGGAAUUCCAGGUGUAGCGGUGAAAUGCGUAGAUAUCUGGAGGAACACCGGUGGCGAAGGCGGCAUCCUGGACCGACACUGACACUGAGGAGCGAAAGCCAGGGGAGCAAACGGG
rnacentral:rRNA from 1 species